ensembl:lncRNA
CAACUGGGCUUGGCUGACAGGUUGUAGUAAUUAGUGAGGGAGAGAGAAAUGGAGUUUGGGGAAUGAAUGAGGGGCGAGGAAGCGACCCGGCUCACUGGCAUCACUCUGGAGACCUUUGCAGGGAAGCAACAAGGGUUCUGCUUCUCAGGAGGUGUGGUGGGACAGAGGGUGAUGGAGCGCAUCUAUUCAGACAUACGUGCAAGACAGCCGAGCUGAAACGGAAGAUGAAUGAGGGGGAGACGGGAAGAGGAAGAAGCCUCAAGCUGUUCAGCAGCACGUUGCUGUCAAAGACAAAGUCCUUUCCCCUUUGGCCUCUGAGGAUCUGCAACAGACGCUCUCUCUCAAACAGGCAGCCUCACGAGUGUCUUCCCACUGUCUGUCUGUGUCUCUCCCAAAUUAACCGUCACCCAGUUACAGACGAGGUCACAGAGUCAAAUUCUAUUUAAGCUUUACAUUAGUGGCAAAGCCCGCGGACCCGUUGAGCUCCCUGAGCGCCCGCUGGCUCCGGGACGAGGGGCACACGUCUGCUUUGAGCCCACGGCAGAACGACUCCAUGGUCCAACGAUUCGGGUCCCGACUGCCGGAUGGAUUGAGAUAUGCAACGGGUUAACCGUGUUCCCCAGAGGAUGAAUCCUAGUGAUCUCCUGCUCCACAUCAUACAUUCAUGUCCCCCUGAGGAUGAAGUGUCCCUUCGUGACCUCCCACAACCACUUCACUGUCCAUCUAAAGAAUCCGGCUACAUUUUUAUUUUCUCCACUACUUUAUGAAGAUCUGCUCAAUGAAUUCUCAUCAGCCACAGCUGCACAUUAUGUUUAUUGGGAUACGUUGUUGUGCUAACAUGCUGAAGAUGGAGAAUAUGUAAAAACAUCUGUUAAAUAUCAGCAUGUUGGUAUUCAGUUCACAUCUUACACACACACUCACUCAUUUUCAGCCUUUGGUGGAUGUGGGAACAAGCUGAUGAACCAGUAUGACGAACUACAUGUGGUUUUUCCUGCAUGUACUCAGUCAAUGAAUAAUCAAUUCCUGUUUGAAAUGGAGUCUCCGGAGCCAGUGUGACUUCCAUCCAUCCGUAGUCAUGUCUUUAGUCCCUCUGUCCCUCUCGUCAAGGGAAGGGACAUCUUAACACAGACCCCGCCAGAGACUCCCUGGUUGUGGACACGGCAUUUAAUAAUGCAGCCACACAAACAGAUAAAAAGGAAAUGAAGGAAAGAAACCAGAAAACAAUGCCGGAAACUAACCUGGUUUAGUCAAGCGCUGCACACACAAAUUUAAUUCUAAGAUACUUCCACGGUUAAUAUGUUACUUUGUGCACAUUUUAACGUCUACAGCAGAACACGUUGAGCUAUACUUUGCAUAAAAAGAUUAAAAGCCAAAUAAGUUAUGUAUGCGCUUAGACAUGAUAUGACAAGUUUAUUUUGAAAUACCAAAAAGCAGAAGGAAGCAGUGAGGUUCAACUCCGCCUGCAUCGCCUGCAGCACGAUGCUGCUUCCACAUUGUAACACUGACCAACAAUUACAGGACGCAAAGAAUCUGUAUUUUGUUCCCAUGACAACCAUAAGGGGGCAAUGUGGCUUCAGCCCAGAGCGCGGAGCUCACUGCUGCUUGUGUGUGUAGUUCUCAAGGCUACGUUUGUGUUUUCUCAUCAUUUUAAUAAGCGGCAAGUGUGUCAAUAAAACAUUUAAGUCGAAGUCAAACCUCAUAUUUGUUCUAAUGACCAAUGGUGUCGGUGCAAUGAUAUAACAAGGCGC